rnacentral:rRNA from 1 species
GACAGAGGGGGCGAGCGUUGUCCGGUGUCACUGGGUGUAAAGCGCGCGCCGGCGGCAACCUUAGUGUCGUGUGAAAGCCCCCGGCUCAACCGGGGGAGGCCAUGGCAAACUGGGUCGCUCGAGCUGCGGAGAGGCCCCUCGAAUUGCAUGUGUAGCGGUGAAAUGCGUAGAGAUCGGCAGGAAGACCAAGGGGGAAGCCAGGGGGCUGGCCGCAGGCUGACGCUGAGGCGAGACAGCGUGGGGAGCAAACCGG